AUGAACAUCUGAUGUCAUUCAAGCUGCACGAGGUAAUUCUGCAUUGUUGCCACUCUAGAAGGAACAGAAGAACUUCAUGGAACAUUGUAUGCAACACCUGGAUUGCAGUCCAAGUGCCAAGUCCCAGAAGGAGAAGAUACAAUAUAGGCCAUCAGCAGCUGGCUGGAAGCCCUCUAAAUCAGGACAAGUUGUUCUCUUGAAUUUGGUGACUUUGCACUGGAAUGUUGUUGGGUUCCUUUCCUCACCUGAAACUGUACUGCCUUGAUUUGUAUAGAGCUAAUUCCAUAAAUACUACACAAAAGUUUCACUUCUUACACCCCAUUCUCUGUAUAACCAAAAGGAGAGACGGAUCAGGAGCAGAAGGUGAAACCUGAUUUAUCAGGUAUAUUUAACUUAAGAUAUACAAAUCAGAAAUGACUUUGGAAAAAAAAAAAAGAAAGCCCUUCAUGGGGAGAAAAAGUGGGGAAGAAUUCCUACUUUACAGAGGAUUUUGCAAGGCCCUGUACAAGCCAUCAUGACUGAGUAGUUUGUGGAAGAUCAUUUAUCCACAGCACUUCAUCUAGAGAUUCACUUCACCUACUCUAACACCCUAGAAGCCUGAGACUCAAGCUGAAGUGUAUUCUGUGCUGCUGG